rnacentral:tRNA from 1 species
GGCAGCGUAGCUUAGUGGAAGGAGCGAUCGCCUUGACAAGGGCGAGAAGCAACCGUUGAUUCGGUUCGCUGCCACCA